CACCACCUACUGACACUAUUUGUACUGGGACAGUUCUUUCUGCGCAGUACUGUACACAGAUCUCAACGGGACAGAGUUCGAUUUGGCAACCAAAUUAAGAAUAUGAGUUCUGGAAAAACACUGCGGAACACUACUCAGGUCAACCAACCUCCAACAACUCCAAGCUUAACAAAGACAAAAAAUAUGAAAGAAAAGACAAACAUCAGAAGCCCAACAGACAGCCUGGUGUCCCCAUGCUCACAAAGGCUCAGGAAGAGAGCUACCAAAGAUGUGCAGUCGGACUUUCAGGUGCCAGAAGAGAAGGAAAAUGCUCCCUCAUUACCACAGUGAAUCUGAAGGCGGAAAGCAGAAGGCUUCAGCAGCCUACAGUUUCCUGCACCGUCUUGGCUGGACUUGUGGUGUGGGAGACGGCCGUGUCUGGGUUAUAGAGCGCUAUUGUAUAAUAUAAUUCAUAUUCUUGUGUGGUCGUAACUGAUCUCUGGUCCCUCAGAAUAAGAAAAGCUACCAGAUUUCAUUAGAUGCUGCAUACUUACAUACAGUACGUGUAUAAAGUUUCUACAAGGAUGAAAGAUAUUCAUUCCUGACUGGUUUAGUGUUGGUAUCUUGGUGUGCUAUCGAUGUCACACAUAGGCUGGGAUUACAGUAGAAUCUGUCCCUAACCUUAACUAAAAAUCAUAAUAAAGCAAUAUUUCUUUCUUCGUGCAGUUUGGCUAGUCCAAUGAUCACUGAACUAUUUUUUAAAACUGAAUCCAAGAAAGAGUGUAAGCUUGCAUUUACUCUUGAGUUAACGUUAAGGACAAAUGUUGAUUGAUACAGGCCACAGUAUUUGAAGAUUAUUAUGAAACAUGAUUUACUGUACAUGAUGUGUCAAACUGAAUUCCAUGUAUAUAUACACACUCAGUGAGCACUUUAUUAGAUAUUUAUUAGACUUAUCUUGUAGACUUCUACUGUUGUAGCCUAUCCACUUAGAGUUAUGAUGCAUUGUGUGUUCAGAGAUGCUCUUCUGCAUACCACUAUUAUAAUGUGUGGUUAUUUGUUACUCUCACCUUCCUGUCAGCUUUGACCAGUUUGGACAUUCUCAUCUGGCGUCUCUCAUUAACAAGGCAUUUCUGCCUGCAGAACUGCUGUUCACUGUUUCUUUGGGUUUUAUUGCACCAUUCUUUUCAAACUUUAGAGACUAGUGUGUGUGAACAUCCCAGCAGUUUCUGAGAUCAACAAUCACAACAAUCAUUUCACGGUCAAAGCCACUUAGAUCAACUUUUUUCUCCAUGGAUAGGCUACAGCAGCAGAAGACCAAUAAAUCUAAUAAAUAAACUGCUCACUGAGUGUAUAUAUUUGCUUCCAAGUGAACUUGCUGCUAAUAUAUUAGCUAUGUUUCUCCUUUUGCACAUUCUCUCUACAUAACUAAAAAUGUUUGUAAUUGUUUUCCAUCUAUGUACCCCUUUAUAACUUGAUAGAUGUUAUAGCAGGCUACUGUGGGGAAUCAAAUGCAAUUUUUCAGGUAGCAAUGUAGCACCACCUAGAGUGUUAGUUGCAUUUCCGUCAUAUAUAAUGCACUGUCAAAUUUCAUUUUUGAGCAUGGGAAAGGGGUGGAAACGCAGCAAGAGGCAUAAGAUGAAACAGUAGGUGGCCUAUGCCCUCCUGGUGCUUGGCCCCUUAAUGACUAAUUGUUUUGGGUACUUUUUGUAACAGCAGUAAACCUAAGUAGAACACCUCUGGGUGUUUUUAUUAUAAUCUGCAGAUUAUACUUCAAAAUACCUUGUUUAUUCCUGUUUAUUUUUGCCUUAUUAAAAUGUUUCUCACUUUAGUUUCUCACAUAGUUCCAAGAACCUUCUUUUGUUUAUGUUUUUUUGGUUUUCUUUGUGAUACUGUUCAUGAUAUGGACAUUACCCUGAAGAAUGCUGUUUGUCUUCACAAAUCAUGACCUGACCUUGAAAACCUUACCUUACCCAUAGUUUAAAUGCAAUACAGAAAUGACCUAACGGUGUUAGCAUUGCGAAAAGACAUAUGGAGUGAGUGAUUAUUUCACA